ACUUGAACGUAGCAUCUUACAAGAGAAGGGUCUAACGUGUAAAUAUAAUUUUUAGCUGCAUCACGUAGCGAUAAGUAUUCAUGCACAUUAGUAUUAGGUAAAAGUAUAAUGAGUAAGAAAAUUUUGUUCGCGAGAAAAAUAAAAAUUCAGAAGGCCUUAUAACCAAUUUAAAUAAAGCAUUCAAGGAGCGCGUGGAGGAGCGGGGAGGCAUGUAUGUGAAGUUAACACGUCAAACUAUCAAUAUGAAAAAAACAAGUAGAGUUCUAAUAGCGCUUUUGAUAGUUCUACAGUUUCUCUAUAACGAAAAAAAAAUAGUUCUGCAACAAUACACCCAAAAAAUAAAAAAUAAGAGUACAACGUGCUAGGUUCGCACAGUUACCACGUCGCUUCUUUCUCCAACGUACAAGAAGCAAUCAAAAUUGCACUAUCCGUAGAUUUUUAUCCAAAAAAUGAGUUUUUUCCCACUGUGUACUGUUCCGCGCUUAGCGGCCGAGGCGACGAUCACGGGCCGCUAAGGUCCAUCGCUAUAUGAGAAAUCAGCUUUUUUGCGCAUUUUUGUGUUAUAUUAUCAUUAAACACACAUAAACAUAUAUAUUUUAAAGUAAUUAUUAAAUGAGGAAAAAAUUUUAAUGAUUUCCCGACAAUAGUUGUCGCGAGCAUUUUUGGUCUGUCUGUGUAGCCGCCGCAGCGUAUAUGUCAUUGACCGGCCGGUCAUCCUCGCGUACCGCUUACGCGUCGCGCGAUAUCGAUAUCGUCGUUAGGUCUAAGAAGUUCGGCGGCUCUUUUUAGUUUUAGAUCAUCAAAAUACAAGUGCAAAAAUAUAGAGGAUUUGUAACCGCAUAGUGUCAGUACACAACAGAUAACACUUCAUAUUCAGUGUUAGUUUGGAAAAGAUCUACCUGUAUUAAGUAUCCAUGUAUUAUAUCUUACAUCC